rnacentral:lncRNA from 1 species
GUGGUCUCGGUGUAUAAUGUUUUCACGUCGUGUCCAUGUAGAUGCCAUGUGGCUCACUGUCAGCCUGUUCACUAGUGAGGAGCUUUGUCUUCCCUGCCUCACAGUGCCAGCUCCCACAGCCUGCAGAGAGGUGUCUGUUCUCCCCAGAAGAGACCGUCUCUGGUGCAGCAGAGACAGAGUUUGAGCAUCUCACGUCAUGUGGCACAGGGGCAGCUCUGGGAUCACAGAAGCGACUGUGCGUUCUGCAGCUUGUAUCAUCUAGUGAAGGGCUGUAAAGUAAACUCUUAGACAUAAUCUGUAGAUAGCUUUCUUGCCCACUGUUGAGAAGACUGACCCAUCUUGGUCCGUGCCAAGGUGUUGCCAAACCUUGUAAUGCUUCUACCAGCUGUAAGAGAAGAUUCAGGAGCUGGUGUAGGACUCACUGCAUUGCCACCAGUUCCUACCAGAUUCUUUGUAACAGUCAACACCAUAAAAAUAGGUCAGACACUCAGGCCUGUUGGGUGAUUUGGGGCAGCUAACCCAGAUGUUGCCCCUGUGAAAGUCUCUGCAGCAACUACAUGGGCAUCUCUGUUUCACCCUGCUUCUUCGUCGUCCUUUUGCUUUGCAUCACAAAGGAAAAAAUCUACCCCUGUGUAGCCAGCGCUUCAAAUCCAACCCAAGCCAGAUCAUGAAGCAGACUGAGCUGUGACGGCACCCACUGGGAGAUCCUUCUGGAGCCGUGUCAGUGGACAUGCCCUAGACAGGAGAGAGGACCUGCCUGAGUUCCCUGACUGAGAAUGUUAAUUGACCCUCUAGGGCCUUUGUUCGCUGGUGCAUCCUGUGGCAUCUUCUCACCUUGUUAAGGGCCCCUUGAUGAGUAAAAUCAUGAGCCUUUUUGGGAAGUUUGGGUAUACUAAGCUCCCAAAUCCUCUGAGUUGUUAGGGAACCUGAGCCCUGAGUAAUCCAAGUCAGGUGUAUGCCUUUGGAGAAUAUACAUGUUUGAGGUAAGUAAUUUUCUGUCUCUGAAUCUGUUGGAACCAUUGUUAAAACCACGUGAUAUCAAAAUGAGGAAGUGAAUGUAACCUUUUGAACAAGUUUUUAUACAAUAUUUUGUUAAUUGGAGUAAGUAGUUGUGAAAUCACUGUAAUUGUUCAUGUUCUAUUGAAAUGUCUGUUAAGGUAAUGUUGGCAUAAAAUAGUUUUGCUAAAUUAGUGUGAAGUGACUUUAAUGCCUUUUGUCUUUAAUGUA